rnacentral:misc_RNA from 1 species
GGAAGAGAUACAUUUAUUUCAGCUGGCUUAUUCCUAGAAUCAGGAGCUGACCAAUUAUCUACGCGGAAAGAAGAGGAAGUUGGUGUAGUUUGUUUUACUGAGGACUGAUAAGGGUCUUCCGUCUCGGGUAGAGGAACAGCAGCAAUAAUGGGCUCUGGUUUGUUUUUCUUGGUUCUCUGCUCAUGUUGAUCUCCAGCAAGAAAGCUACCUAUAACAAUCUGCACAGGACUGGCAGCUACUAAUAGACCGGCUACUCCACCUCCUACAACACGCCCAUCAGGACUAGCUAGAGAUACACUCAUUCCGCCAG